rnacentral:rRNA from 1 species
UACAGAGGUCCCGAGCGUUGUUCGGAUUCACUGGGCGUAAAGGGUGCGUAGGUGGCAUGAUAAGUUUGAUGUGAAAUCUCCGGGCUCAACCCGGAAAAUGCAUUGAAUACUAUCAGGCUGGAGGUUUGGAGGGGGGGACUGGAAUUCUCGGUGUAGCAGUGAAAUGCGUAGAUAUCGAGAGGAACACCAGUGGCGAAAGCGGCUACCUGGACCAGCACUGACACUGAGGCACGAAAGCGUGGGGAGCAAACAGG